CCAAGCCAGACACUGCAGUGGAAUGCGAAUGGUAUUUGGAGCUGGCGGCUGUAAUAGAAACCAGGGCUCACUGAUGCAUUUAUCUCCAUUUUGUUUACCAUCUAAACAACCCGUGACCCUGCAUGAUGGUGAAAUAGUGGUAAAUGACUCUGGGGACUAUUUUGCCUCACCUUGCAUGCACGUUAGUCGGAAACCACCUCAAUGCUGUUGUAAAACAGUAUCACUGACACAAGGCAGCGCCUUCAUAACCGCUCGCUGUGAGGAGCUUUUAGAGGUGGACGUCUGGUUCCCAUCACCACCACUGAACAGCGCUGACAGCGUUUCACACCAAGCCGCUCUGAUCAUUGGAUUAUCUGCACGGUGGCGUUUCCCUUUAAACAUUAAACCGCCAGUGGGGCUGGAUUAACCGGAGUAAGGCCUGGUGUGAAAAACACUGGCUGCAUGUUUCCCAGUCUGAUGGAUAUCGGAGUUCAUGGAGCUCCAGAUUUAUUAGUAAUUAAUAACUUACAUUCUCUCUGCACUUCACGCGCCGCUUUCCCGUUACUGGCUCCUCUCUGCUGCUCUCCCAUUGGCUGAGCCCAUGAGUGGGCGUUCCCGGUGGCGCCGGUGACGCCAUCCACCAGCCCUUUAAAUCGCGCGCAUCGCCCCAGAGCUGCUCACCAUCGGCCGCGCGCGACUCGCACCCGGUAAACUCUCUAAAACAAGAGAAGAGGCGCGAGCCACAGACAAACACAACAAACGAGAACCACGACGGCUCGCGAGACAAAACCCAGACGAGACCAAGACGAUGUCGACGUACUUGAGCUCCGAGAGUCGCCGCGUGAGCCCCCGCGUGCACGGCAGCGGCUUCGACACGGCGCGGAGAAAGCGCGCGUCGCCGCACAUCUUCGAGCACGUGCGCGAGGACGCGCUCGUGCGGCUCUUCCGCAAAGCGGGCGACGCCAAGGCAGAGGAGCGCGCGAGGAGCGUGUUCGCCGCGGCGGCGUCGCACGAACCCGGAGAGACGGCGCGCGCGCUCAUGGCGCUGCGGCAGCGCAAGAAGGACAAGCUGCUGCGCAUCGCCGGCGCCGUGCGCCGCUUCCUCGGCGUGCGCUGAGCGAGCCGGACCGAGAGGAACCGACUUGAAGUCCUCAAAACACGAACUUUCAACGGAAACACAGCCCGGCUGUGCGCACGCGCUCUGAGCGAGCGGGGGCCGUUACGGCUAACAGACCGCGGACGAGUGACGGACUGAAAAGCGGGAGAAAACGUAACCGCGAGGGUCAGAAACGGACCGCGAAACGCUGGAGCAGAGCCAAAGGACCCGCGGUGACCCCCCCCCCCCCCAACGCCCACCCGCCCACCGGGACCUCUACUGAAGGAGAACCGGGAGAAACGGGAGACUCGAGUUAGCCCGAGCUAACGAGGCUAACGAAGCCAGCGCGGUUACCAGGGCGACGCGUCUCUCCUCUCGCGCACGGGAGAUGAAGACCCCUGUGUGGAACGCUGCACCUUUCCCGCGCUUUCUGGAGCAAAUCAGACUGCGAGAAAGACGCUCACGUGAACUGUUUGGUUUUUUUGUUGUUUAAUUAUUAUUAAUAUUAUUAUUAUUUUUUAUUUUUAUAAUAUUUUUUUAUGUGUAAAUGCACGUUUAAGUGCAUGAGGUGCCUCGUGACGACGAGAAGAUGAAGGAAAAAACAAUCGCCUGUGUUGACCACGCCUCAUAUUUCUAUUUAAAAAAAAAACAAAAAAAAACAGCCUGUUAAUAUUGUCUCACCUUUUGCCUCAGUUUCAGUUUUCCUGUGUUAUAACACAGUAUCAAGUGGCCACUAAUUUAUUUGUACACUCAAUGCUCACAAUAAAUUAUGAACGUCUACGUCAGUGUCUUGUGUCCUUAAUAUGUGCAGUUCAUGUGGAGUGAAUGCAGUUGGUGCUGUUAUAUUGCUGCCUAUAGGAAUCACAAAACCUGUGAAGGUCCAUUCAGUCCCACCAGGGCUGUUU
ensembl:lncRNA